UUAUGUGUGUGAUUUUUCUCUCUUUGCAUCGGUAUGAGUGUAUAUAUAUUUUUGUAAAGUGUUCCUUCUUUUAUGUAUACCCUAGUCAAAAAACAGCUAGAAUCCCUAUAUCUAUGUAUACUAAUGUACAAAUAUGCCUCUACUCAUGUAUGAGUAAAUAUACUAACAUUUUUUUCCUUAUAAGACUAUUUUUUUCUCUGACAUUAUGUAUAAAUUUUUUUGUAUACUUGAGUGCACCCCCAUACUCGUACCUUCUCCUAUAUUCAUAAUACACAAUACUCUUCUAUUACUUGAAUAUUAAUACUACCCUAAUACCAUCAAAUAUCCCUCUCACAUUAUUGCAAGCUAGUUUCUUACGUCAUAAUUUUUAUUUAUACUAAAACAUAGUUACUGUAUAAACUUACAUAUCAUUAUACAUAAAACUAAUAAACCUUUCCCAGACCAUUUAUCUCUCCUACAUUGAUAUUAUUUUACCAUAUUCCAACAUCCAUUAUCUAUUUCAACUUCACUUUUUUCAUCUUUAUUGCCACAGCAAGUAUUUACUAUCUAAAUUGUAAUAUCAACAA